rnacentral:lncRNA from 1 species
AAUGAUACAGAAAAUGCUGAAAGUUAACCAUCCAGUCACUGACCAGUUCCCCGGUCUAAUAUGGGAGUUGAUGGUGAUCGGUUGACCACUACCUAAUCUAUCUUCCAUGUAUUGCAUCUGUUCCAUGGUUGUGAAAGAAUUGGUUGUCUUCCAAUUGCUACAGUUAGUUUCCUUCCUCUCUUGGAACCAAUGGAUGAAGUAAUGUUUCAUUAGGAGGAACAAACAUUAUUGUUAAUUACAAUGAUUAAAUGAUUAAGAAAGCUUCUUUGAGAUUAAAAAAAGCUAGGCUUUGUCUGUUUUCUCAUGAAGAACGACGGGAAGGAGAGAACCGCUUGGCCUCUGAAGACCACGCGUGGCUCAGCAAAAAGAUAAGGUUUGCUGCUUUCAGCUAAAAUGUUAGGCGACCUGAUGUGGCUGCCA